AACGCACAUUGCGCCCUCUGGUAUUCCGGAGGGCAUGCCUGUUCGAGCGUCAUUACACCACUCAAGCCUCGCUUGGUAUUGGGCGCCGCGGUCGACGCGCGCCUCAAUUUCACCGGCCGAGCACCCGAUCUCAGAGCGUAGAAGCAAAACACUCGCUUUGUAGGGGAGGGGACUCGUGCCGUCAAAACACUUUGUACUCAAGGUUGACCUCGGAUCAGGUAGGGAUACCCGCUGAACUUAA
rnacentral:misc_RNA from 1 species